UACAGAGACUGCAAGCGUUAUUCGGAUUCACUGGGCGUAAAGGGUGCGCAGGCGGCCAAGUGUGUUAGGCGUGAAAGCCUGAGGCUUAACCUCAGAAUUGCACCUAAAACUACAUGGCUAGAGCAUUGGAGAGGGUAGCGGAAUUCACGGGUGUAGCAGUGAAAUGCGUAGAUAUCGUGAGGAACACCAGAGGCGAAGGCGGCUACCUGGACAAUCGCUGACGCUCAGGCACGAAAGCGUGGGGAGCAAAAGGG
rnacentral:rRNA from 1 species